CUAUGCGCCUUGCCAGCCCCGCUCAGAAACUCAAAGGAAUUGACGGGGGCCCGCACAAGCGGUGGAGCAUGUGGUUUAAUUCGAUGAUACGCGAGGAACCUUACCUGGGCUCAAAUGUAUGUUGACGUAUUCUGAAAGGGAUACUCUUCGGACAAUAUACAAGGUGCUGCAUGGUUGUCGUCAGCUCGUGCCGUGAGGUGUCGGGUUAAGUCCCAUAACGAGCGCAACCCCUAUCAUUAGUUGCCAUCAGGUCAAGCUGGGGACUCUAAUGAAACCGCCUACGCAAGUAGUGAGGAAGGUGGGGAUGACGUCAAAUCAGCACGGCCCUUACGUCCAGGGCUACACACGUGUUACAAUGGCCAGUACAGAGGGCAGCCACCCCGCGAGGGGGCGCUAAUCCUAAAAGCUGGUCCCAGUUCGGAUCGGAGUCUGCAACCCGACUCCGUGAAGCUGGAUUCGCUAGUAAUCGCGCAUCAGCCACGGCGCGGUGAAUACGUUCCCGGGCCUU
rnacentral:rRNA from 1 species